rnacentral:lncRNA from 1 species
AGGCUAUACACCUGUACAAUGUGACCUUUCACCUGGAAAUAUAGUUUCGUAUACAAAAUUCCACUUCUUUCAGGUUUACACUUUCAGUAUUAAUGGUUACAAUUUAAAAAUGUUAGGUCUUGAAUUAUUUAAGUCGAUAAGUUAAGAGUUAAACACAAAAAGUCGGAAUACGAAAAUUUUGAUACUUUAAUCACACAUAUUUAAAAUGGCG